rnacentral:tRNA from 1 species
GAGGGCAUAGCUCAAGUGUUAGAGCACAUGCUUAGCAUGCAGAAGGCCCUGGGUUCAAUCCCCAGUACCUCCU